rnacentral:piRNA from 1 species
GGGGCCUUUCCCUGAUUCUGUAAGAGGAG